AUCGCUUCUCCGCCUUUUGGCUAAGAUCAAGUGUAGUAUCUGUUCUUAUCGUUUAUCUCAAAUAUGUCCUCUAUAUAGAGGACUACAUAUACUUUGGUCACAUUUUCACGCCUGAGGCAAUGAGCUACAGGCUUACUCCUUUCUCUCAACGCAUCGACCUAGCAUUACAGUGCCGCUGGGAGCAGUGCACUCUGU